rnacentral:rRNA from 1 species
GACGUAGGGGGCAAGCGUUGUCCGGAAUUACUGGGCGUAAAGGGCGUGUAGGCGGUGCGGUACGUAGCGGCUUUAAGCCUCCGGCUCACCCGGAGGAGGGCGGCUAAACGGCAGCACUGGAGGGCAGGAGAGGUGCGCGGAAUUCCUGGUGGAGCGGUGAAAUGCGUAGAGAUCAGGAAGAACACCAGUGGCGAAGGCGGCGCACUGGCCUGGCCCUGACGCUGAGGCGCGACAGCGUGGGGAGCAAACGGGAUUAGAUACCCCGGUAGUCCACGCCGUAAACGAUGGAUACUAGGUGUCGCGGGGGUCCACCUCGCGGUGCCGGAGCUAACGCACUAAGUAUCCCGCCUGGGGAGUACGGCCGCAAGGUUGAAACUCAAAGGAAUUGACGGGGGCCCGCACAAGCAGUGGAGCAUGUGGUUUAAUUCGACGCAACGCGCAGAACCUUACCAGGACUAGACGGGAUCGUGAGCGCCGCGAAAGCGGCGGGCCCUUCGGGGAGCGAUCGUCAGGUGCUGCAUGGUUGUCGUCAGCUCGUGUCGUGAGAUGUUGGGUUAAGUCCCGCAACGAGCGCAACCCUUGUCGUGUGUUGCCAACGGUUCGGCCGGGCACUCACACGAGACUGCCGGUGACAAACCGGAGGAAGGUGGGGAUGACGUCAAAUCCGCAUGGCCUUGAUGUCCUGGGCUACACACGUGCUACAAUGGUCCCGACAACGGGCCGCGACGGCGCGAGCCUGAGCGAAUCCUUCAAACGGGACCUCAGUUCGGAUUGCAGGCUGCAACCCGCCUGCAUGAAGUCGGAAUUGCUAGUAAUCGCCCAUCAGCAUGGGGCGGUGAAUUCGUUCCCGGGCCU